AGAGUUUGAUCCUGGCUCAGGACGAACGCUGGCGGCGUGCCUAAUACAUGCAAGUCGAACGGUCUUUUCUAUGGAAGCUUGCUUCCACUGAGAAGAUAGUGGCGAACGGGUGAGUAACACGUGGGUAACCUGCCCAUAAGAGGGGGAUAACAUCCGGAAACGGGUGCUAAUACCGCAUAGUUUUCUUGAUCGCAUGAUCGAGAAAGGAAAGACGGCCUUUGUGCUGUCGCUUAUGGAUGGACCCGCGGCGUAUUAGUUAGUUGGUGAGGUAAUGGCUCACCAAGACGAUGAUACGUAGCCGACCUGAGAGGGUGAUCGGCCMCMUUGGGAMMGAGACACRGGCCCAAA
rnacentral:rRNA from 1 species